rnacentral:lncRNA from 1 species
GGGGUGUUUACUGUUGAGUGAGGGUCUACUACUCUGGAUGAAGAAUAUUUAGCUUGAAGUAGAGGCAAAGGCACGAAGGUGAAACCUGACAUAACUUCCGGGAGGAGUCUGGAACUAUAGAACGGUGCCGAUACAUCUCUAUGACAACCACAACGCGUUCUCUGCAUUCUCCUGCGCUUUUACGAAGCUCUCCAAAGAAACGGAGGGAAACUCAGGUCAGACUCAGAGACCAACAAUUUCAAUCUAUCCAGAGCUACAUGACGUAAAGAAAAGGGUCUCAUCGGUACAGUCAGCCCCAGAUGAGCAUCUGUCCCAGGGGGAGAUCAAGGCCCUGCUCCCCCGGAGGCUGGUGGAGAGGGUAGAGGAUGUGAGGGCAGCGUUCAAAGGCCUGGACCCUGAGGGGAGCGGCUCAGUGACCCGGGGGGAGUUCAGACAGGUGGUGGAGGCCUUCCUCUUCCCCCUCACGCAGACCCAGCUCAACGCCAUGCUGGCCAUGGAUAAACGCAGUGGGCUGAUUCCCCAGGUGUGACCCGUUCUGAACACCACCUAUUCCCCGACCACCCAGCCCCAGAAUUACAGCUCAAC